GAACGAAAUCAGCAAGGGGGGAAGCCAUAGUUAGGGUUUUCAAGCUUCCAAGCUCCAUAAUCAAGAAGUACGAAACUCGAGGUUAGACAAAGGGAAGAAUAAAGUUGAAGACUAAGUUGGUGAAUUUGGCUAUAAUUGGUACCGAGGUAAGUUUACGGUAAAUAAAUGCAAUAUUUCCAUAUUUAUUAUCAAUGCUGUUAUUUUCCAGCAACUAUGAAUUUAUUUUAUGAAUUUAUUUGAUGAUGAUCUAAGCAUGAAAUGAUAGAGAAUUAAAAUUUAAAAGUCCCGUUGAUACAUAAGGAUGGUACUGGAUACGAAUGUCAUGACAUUUGGGUAAAGAGAUCCCAUGUAAGACCAUGUCUGGGACAUGGCAUUGGCAUCCUUAAGAUCAUAAGAGGUCCCCUGUAAGACCAUGUCUGGGACAUGGCAUGGGCACCAAGACGAGAGGUCCCUUGUAAGACCAUGUCUGGGACAUGGCGUUGGCACCGAGAUGAGAGGUCCCCUAUAAGACCAUGUCUGGGACAUGGCAUGGGCACCAACAUGAGAACAUCCCAUGUAAGACCAUGUCUGGGACAUGGCUUUGGCAUGUUAUUAUCAGAAGAGACCCGAGUAUCCUUAUUAUUCCAAUGUAGCUCAACGGGCUUGUAAACGAAUUAUGUUCAUGAAAGUUCAGUUUAAAGCAUAAAUGGCAAGCUCAGGUAAGUUAUAAGAGUUAAGAACUUAUUAUACUAUCAAUUGAUGUUCAACGAUGCAGCAAGAGUUGAGUAAGUUAUGUACACAAGUAUUCUAAGUAAACAAGCAAGAGAACUAGUAUGAGAUUAACUAAAGAGUAAACUAGAGAUAUAGACAUUUGAGUUUAAUUAUUUAAGUUAAAUAUUGUUAUUUAUUUGCUAGUAAACUUACUAAGCUUUAUGCUUACUUCUUUUAUUUCUCUUUCUCUUAUAGUAUUGCAAAGCUACUUCAAGGAUCCUAAAGAAGUCGGAGAUCGUCCACACUAUCAACCACAACUGCUCGGUAUUUUAUAUCGAAUCACGUUUGAGUUAUGGCAUGUAUAGGGAUUUAGUUAUUUUGUAUGUUUGUGAUUAUGAUUUUGCUAAAGAAUGGUGUGUAAGUAUUUGAUGAUGUAUGGUUAUUAAAAUGGUUAAGUAUGAAGGUAUUUGUUGUUAUAAGAGUCUAGGUGAUAAAUUAUGCAUGGAAAUCAUGAAAGGAUAAAAUUUUGCAAAGAAACAGAAUUCAGGCAGCAACAGUGAC
rnacentral:lncRNA from 1 species